GCUUCGGUGGUGGAUUAGUGGCGAACGGGUGAGUAACACGUGGGCAAUCUGCCCUUCACUCUGGGACAAGCCCUGGAAACGGGGUCUAAUACCGGAUACGACCACCGACCGCAUGGUCUGGUGGUGGAAAGCUCCGGCGGUGAAGGAUGAGCCCGCGGCCUAUCAGCUUGUUGGUGGGGUAAUGGCCUACCAAGGCGACGACGGGUAGCCGGCCUGAGAGGGCGACCGGCCACACUGGGACUGAGACACGGCCCAGACUCCUACGGGAGGCAGCAGUGGGGAAUAUUGCACAAUGGGCGAAAGCCUGAUGCAGCGACGCCGCGUGAGGGAUGACGGCCUUCGGGUUGUAAACCUCUUUCAGCAGGGAAGAAGCGCAAGUGACGGUACCUGCAGAAGAAGCGCCGGCUAACUACGUGCCAGCAGCCGCGGUAAUACGUAGGGCGCAAGCGUUGUCCGGAAUUAUUGGGCGUAAAGAGCUCGUAGGCGGCUUGUCACGUCGGAUG
rnacentral:rRNA from 2 species